CAGCAGCUUAACGCCGGGGGGCUCGAGCUGGGCCAGUUUCCGUGCUCGUCCCCCGGUCUUUCCAAUUCCCACGCACCUGUGCACCGGGCGGCGAAAGGGGUAGAACACCCCCGCCGUCUUUCCACACCCACGCCUGAAGAAAAAACGCAUGUGAACGCAGCCGGGGCCCGCGGGGGCCUCGCGAUUUUUGAAA
rnacentral:misc_RNA from 1 species